AAGUGGGGCGCGGAGCCCGAUAGGGGCCCCAAACCCAACUCCCUCAUUUUAUCCCUGUUCAUCCCGUCCGUUUCAGUUUUUCCCCUUUCUUUCACUUUCGUUUUCAUUUGGUUUUAGGGUUCUUAUCUUCUUCCAGUUUCACCUUCGCUUCUGGGUUUUCCGUGUUGUCAUUCUUUCGUGCAUUUCACCUUCGCUUCCCCUUUCUUUCACUUUCGUUUUUUUUGAAUUGAUCACAAUACUUUGCUGAAUCUCCAUCGAUCGGGCAUUGAUUCCUUCAAGGCGGAUUCAUCAAUAUGAGGUUGAAGAUGGUGUUGGCAUAACUGAGCAAAUUCUUGAUUUAUCAAGCUUUCAAAGUUCUGCAAGAUUUUAUUUUAAAUUCACAAAAUGCAAUCUCAUCUGGUCUCUUAGAUACUUUGCUCUGAUAGUCCUGAAUUUCCUGGAGGAUUCUUGAACCUGGAAGCUAACUACUAUCUGUCCUUUGAAACAUUCAGUACCUUAGUAGAGAUUUUGAUUUAUGGCUACUUUUGGUGAAGAAGGGUGUGUGAACCUUUCUGAUGAUGUGAAUGAUUUAGUUAACAAUGAAGAGGAGAACCAACAUGAGAAAGAUUCAAAGUCUGAUUCAGAAGGUGAAUGCUAUAAGAAGAUAAAUGAGUUGACUGCAGAUGACAUCCGGGGUCUGGAAUUUAGUACUGAGGAAGAAGGUUGUUUGUUUUAUCAUAAAUAUGCUCAAUAUCGUGGUUUUGCUUCAAGGAAAGAUGAUGUUUAUAAAGAUAAUGACGGAAAUAUUGUUACACGUCAAUUGGUGUGUAAUAAAGCUGGUCGGAGGCAUGAAAAGCAUUUUAAGAAUAAUGACCGUGUUAAACAACCCAAGGCAAUCACAUUUACUGUUUUUUUUAUAAACAAAAGAAUGUAUUGAAUGAGAA